GGGCCGGCUUUAGCCCAGCGGUUCCUUCGGUUCAAAUGUUUGCAUUGUGGACUCCGACUGGGGUUCGAUCCCGCGGGCACCCCUGGCCCAUUU
ensembl:vault_RNA Vault Vault RNA